rfam:Glossina austeni unplaced genomic scaffold Scaffold32, whole genome shotgun sequence.
AGGUCCCACCAUCGGAAGCGUGCUAACGACAACCAGCCUCCGCGAAAUUAUACCUAGCGGUGGUCCCGUGUGGGAAAGCGGUGGAAGAGGCGUGUGGGGGGGUAGUUUUUAGUACGUAGGCGCCAUGAAUGGCGAAUCGUGAAUGCUGCUACUAAGAACCAGCAGUAUCUCUUGAAAAAUUUCUACCUCCAGCGCGC